rnacentral:lncRNA from 1 species
AGAUAAUUCAUCUUUAGGGUAUUCUCUCACUGUUACCGGAUGCACAAUGACCUUGGUCUAAUUCUUAUGACAACUGAUGAAAAAACUCAGUGAGAUGUCAUUGCUAACGUUGUUCUCUGUAUCUAUAAAUCAAGGCCGGAUCUGUUUAGUUCAGUAUUCACUAGAUGCCGACUUUUGUUCAGGAAUGGGACUCAGCACAGUGAAUUGAAAUGAAGACACCUUUCUCAUUUGAAUCAAAUGCAGUAGGGGAGAUAAACGUUUCCUUUUAAAUGUAUAUUUUUAACUGCCUUAUAAAAUACCAGGUUUCCUUAUGCUGUUCUCAAGCACCAUGUUUUUCUGGCCCUCCGCUCUCCCUUUCCCUGGCCCCUUGUGUACCCUUUCACUGCAGAAGCCCCUCUUUCCUGUCUCAUGUGUUUUGUUCUCCCUUGCACAAUCCCCUUUUAUGUUCCCUUUCUAGUUUCAACACCUAUCCACACUUAUACCCACAGAUUUACAUAGCCAUAUACAUGUAUGUUUACAUAAACAUUAAAGGUUAGAAUUUAUAUAU